UGAGGACAGGGUCUCCUCCGCUGGGAGGUCCUUGGUCCCUCCAUCAGUGGAGGGUUGGAUGUAGCUCCUGCAGAACAAGAACCUUUAUUGAUACACGGUGAAACUAUCCUACAAUAUAUAUUGUACAUAUAUAUUGCAUCUAAUAUUGAUACAAAAAAUGCAUACAAUACAAUACCAGACAUGCUCACAUGCUUCAAACAUGUUGACAUCAGACAUGCAAUAUGGAUCAGACAUGUUAACAUGGAUCAGAUGCUCGCACACUCUAGUAUGUAGCAUGUAGCAUGAGGCAUGGGCCUUUACUCACACAAGGCCGUGGAGCGUGUUGAGUGUCUUGAGGCAGGUCUCCACGAUCAUCUUGGGAGAUUUGUCGUAUCUUUUCAGAAGUUCCUGUUUGGCCGUUGUGAACCUACAGCCAGAAGGAGGACUCAUUAAGGCCUCUUGACAGCCAAAGAACCCGACUGCAAACAACUUAACAACGAGCAUCGUGCAAAGCGACAACGGUAACAUGGAAACACCAAUCGUCAGGAAGAAAAGGGCGACAUGCCUCUCUAGAAACUCCUGGAGUUUGAGGUAGCAGACCUGCCGGGUGAACUUCUGCACGUUCUCACUGAUGGACUCCGCUCUGACAAUCGGUCCAUCGAUGCACUUCAGCAAAAAAGCAUAUUUUGGAUCCUCAAUAUAUUCUGCUCAUAUGUUUCUACACAGUAUUCACGUUAUUCCAAUGUGCAGAACCGUCCUGUACCUUAAUGACGUCUGUGUGGAGUUCCCAGGACCUCCAAAACUCUGAUCCCUGGCGCUUAAUGAUCUCAUCCAGAGAACUCUGGACGUCCCGCUGCAAUCAAACAAGAAAGGAUGAAUCUAGGCCCGCCUAUCCUCUGUUCGUUUGUUAGUUAUGACAGAGAUUAACUAAAAGGUAGUUUAGCAGUCGAGAGAUGUGGGAUUGAUGGCCUGUCUUUGAUUAAUAAUAGUAUAAUAAGUACCAUUUUAUCUUGGGGGUGUUCUAGUUCCUGCAGCAUGCCUUCCUACCUCCAGUGUGGUCCGGAGGGUUUGGUUGACGCAUACGACCGUCUCAGAGUACAGGUUCAUGUCCACGGAACUCCUCUCUUGGUUCUCACUGAAGUCCGGGUCUCCCAGGAACCCCCGACUGUGAAGACACAACCAGGGUGUUAAGGUCCACAGAUACAGGUUCUAUCUAGAGCUACAGGUCU
ensembl:lncRNA